CGUGGAUAUGCUAUCCUAUUGUCUUCUUGAUUUAGCAACAAUGCACACUUGUAACCCAGUUGCUAGACUUGCUGCAGAGUCUCUAUUUGCCAACCUUCGUUUCUUAGAUCUAUGGGGGUUUGUACGUUUGGUUUCUGGUAGGCAUCUUCAGGGUCUUUCAGCCUAUAUGGUUCAUGGAAGCGGACCCUCAAGGCUCGUGAAAUGCUGGUGAGCUCUAUUUAUUGCCCCUUCAGAGGUUACCAGUCAAGAGCUCUAUUUUUCUUUCCCAUGGGUCAUGGUUGCCUCUGUUUGUUUUGAUGGGUUCUUGUUUGAUUGAACAUGGAGGAGGAUCCUUGCAGGGAAAUCGCUUGGCUUGUUGUUGCUUUUUCAGCCUUGCAUGAUGUAGAUGGCUGGCCCUGGCACUUCAGGUUUUGCAUCAUCUCUCUUGAAGGAUAGGUGGCUACUUCUCCUUCUCUUGUUGGAUCCUUUGAUUGGAGUCUCCAACCAGCAUAAGCUAGGCUUAGUUUGUUGGUUUUUAUCCUUUUUAUCAUUAAGCCCAGAUUCUUUCUUAUUAAAACCCUUUGGCUUUGUGUGGC
rnacentral:misc_RNA from 1 species